rnacentral:lncRNA from 1 species
UUCUUUGCACGUUUGGUAGGACACUUUGAUGUUGCCGAUGAGAUCACGCCGAUCAAAAUUGAUAACUUUGACUGAGCUUGUCUCAUGAAGGUAGUGAUCGCUAUUCUAUUGUAAGUAAUCUAUUGGCAUCUUAGAGAUGAAUUGGAACCUUGCUUCCUACUGUCUGCAAUUGUUAAUCACGCGUUGUUGUGCUGGUGCAUGACUUUGGACUGUCCAUGCACAUCAUUGUAUGUCCAUCCUGCUUGUAUACUUGGCCAGAUUCCAAGUAUGAGAAUUGGCUUAAUGAUGCAAUGGCGUCAAUUACCUGUCAUGGUUGAAUAUGAUGGUCGAAUUGCCCCUCAUUCUUGAAAUUGAUAUGAUCAUCACAUUCCAGCUGCAAUUGUGCACUUUUGGUUCCAUUGAGCUUCAUGGCUUUUUGCGUGACCUUCUAUCUUUCGCUAAGCAUGAUUUGAAUCCGCUUUUAUCAUCACAGAAAGGGCUACUGUUAACAGCAGGCCGCAACAAGUUCAUUCGCUUUGCACUUUAAUAAUACAAAAGGAUAGAAGAAAUUAGAGCCCAUAUCUAUGGGGCGAAACUCUUACGAGAUCGUGGCAAGGGUAUGCUGGGAUUGAGAUGAAUGAAGCCCCAAAUCUAGCGCACAUACACGGACGACUUCUGGGGUUCCUAGAGGCUGGUCCUUCUGGAAACGGUACAGGGCUUUGUAACCGAUUGGAUUCAGUGUUUCUUACGCCAUUAUCGAUCUGUUCUUUCACUUACCAAGGUUGACAAAACUCAUGCUUUCGAUGAGCCUGAAUUAAAAAUCAGAUCUAUCCCAAUAGGAAACCCUUUUAGAUUUCUCUUCAUAACAUCAUACCAUGUCUUUCUUCCUCCCCUUUGUUUGGUCUUGGGUGAUGAGAGAAGAAUACAUUCCGUCACCUAAAGUUGGACAAGUUUUGUUCAACGUUGUUAAUGAAAGACUCAAACCUAACUUGAUCCUUGAAUCUAGGCAUAAAGGAUUGGCUUGUUGGUCAGUCAAACGAGCAUCGUGCGCUGCCCUAAUAUUUGUGCUUCCAUAAUCGGAGACCUUAAAAGCGAAAGGAAACUUGGGAAAAGUGUACCAUAAAAAUUAGGUUGAGAACUUAAUGCCCAACAUCAUUUAAAAUAAAGUAAAGGAACACGGUCAAAAUUUGACGAUUUUCCUAGAAAGAAACUUAUUCUGCGAUCAUCAAUGUAAAUCAACUUAGCAAUAUUUGGGAUUUAUCUAAUAGCCUUUUUGGAUUGCAUUAUUUGCUGUUUGCUUGAAUCAUCACAUCCGCAUACAUUCAGUUUCUUAGUCAUAUGAUAAAAAAAACACAUUUCUCUUUGUCAAAACCUUUAGGCUUUCUUAGUCAUAUGAUCAAAAAACACAUUUCUCUUAGUCAAAACCUUUAGGCUUUUCUUUUAUGUGUCCAAAAUUCAUAUACAAUUCAAAUCUCAACCAAAUGCAUCUACCGUAUUUUAAGGGCAAAUAUCAUUGUCUCCUUUUAGAACUCAUACAAGCCACUAUUAGUAGGACUCCUCAAAUAGCCCUCAAAAUCUUCAUUAUAUAACUUAAACCAACACUAACUGACCAAAAAAGAAAAGAAAAAAGUAAAUUAACACUCAAUUGAUUCAAAGGCACUUGAGAAAAUCGGUCUUUUCUUCAACUUUGGGAUGUGCCUUACAUUAGUCAAUGUUCUCAUGAUACUAUCAUCCAUCCUUAUUCUUACGUCGCCAACACACAAUCCAAGCAUCUAAUAGAGAAUAAAUCUUUCUAGAUCCACUAUCUUUUCCUUUCUAUGUGCUGGCUAGCAUUUAAUGAGGUCUUCGUUCUCGAGUUCAUGCAGCCCACCAUAAAUCUAAAGCUCACUUUGUUUUUCCAUGGCUUGCUUAUAACUAAUAUUUUACUAUUCAAAACCCGUCGCACCUACUUGCUCCACGACAAUCAAAGCAUUUGAUGGAGAAGAAAUUUUUCUAGGUGCCCACUGCCCAUAAUCUUUUCCUUUUCAUAUGUCUGCUAGCAUUCAGUAAGGUCUUGAUUCUUGACUUCACGCAAUGUUAUCAUAAUUCUCGCGCAAGUUGAUUUCUUUUUAUUUUCAUGCUUCAAAAGUUCAUUAAAUAAUUGCAUCUUUUCUUUCAUUUUUCUUCGUGCACAUACCUUGAAUCAAGACUUUCUUUCAAUAGUCCAAAUCUAACAGUCAAAUCUAGGAACCAUCAACCAAACGUAACGUGCUCAAAUCCAACUAUCAAAACAUUAUAUUAUUCAAACAUCUCGCUGUCGUAUCCACUUUCUCUCGCUGCUCUCCUCUGUUCUUCCCCGAAGUCCAACUUCAAUCAUCUCGCUCGAAUCCUCGUCGCCCAGUCGUCGUCCGUCAAACCGCAACCCGGAAAGCACGAGACCAUGGCUUCUGCACCGUCGUCCUCAGAAACAACUGCUGAGAGACAGAGAGUCACAGCUCCGUAUGGCUCUUGGAAGUCACCCAUCACCGCCGACGUCGUCUCCGGCGCCUCCAAGAGCCUUGGUGGCAUCUCCGUCGAUGGCGACGGCCGUCUUGUCUGGCUUGAGUCCCGUCCUAACGAAGCCGGGUAUGUUACUCCACUUACCAUUUUCUUUAAUAAGAAGGAUAAGCUAAUUAAAACAGAGUAUGCGGGCACUAUUUUCUGGGUACUGUGAAUGGUGCUGAAAUGAUGCUUUCGUUACUGUGUAAUCUUUAUGGUUCGUGAAAUGAAUGAGUCUGGAGAGCUUUCAGGAGUGUACUGACUUAUGGAUGGUUAUGAUGGCUAUUAGACGCUCUGUUCUUGUGAAAGAACCGGGAAAGCCAGGAGAUGAACCUGUUGACAUCACGCCCAAAGAGUUUGCAGUGAGGACUCUGUGUCAGGAAUAUGGCGGUGGUGCUUUUAGCAUUUCCGGGGAUACUCUUGUUUUCUCGAAUUACGAGGAUCAGAGGCUGUACAAGCAGUCCUUACACCUGGAAGGUAAGCUCAGUGGCUGCUGUAGUGCGCGUUGAAGGUCUGCUUCCUUUGGGAUUAUAAUUGUAAUCUUCAGUCUAUUCACAAAGAAGUUUACAGUUGGAUUUGGUAGCGCCAUGCUUAGAUCCUUACAGAUGGUAGACAUGUUGUGAUAUGAUUGGAGGGUAAAAAGAACUGAACUUGAAGCAUAGACUAUGCCUCUUUAGAAAUGUUGUGGUAAAACUUCCUUUCCCAUUUCAAUUCUCCUCAGUCUCUAGAAUACGUUAUGGGAAGCAGUGACUCCGACGGAAGCAAACUUGCUAUGAAAUGUUGCCGAUUGGAAUUGAGAAGGCCACUUGGAUUUUCCUAAUACACGUUUUGCUGAGUGAAGCCUUGUGUUUUAUCGAAGUUUUUGUAGAGCAGUAUCUCAUUCAUCAAUGACCAUCACACUUCUGUGGUUACUCUGUAUCUCCGACAGAUUCUCCUCCAUUGCCAAUUACUCCAGACUAUGGUGGGCCUUCAGUUUGUUAUGCAGAUGGAGUUUUCGAUAGUAGAUUUGGCCGUUACAUCACCGUAAGGGAAGGUAACUACUCUUUGAAGGAGCUUAUUUUGGUGCUCCUAUUUUCUGGGGACUAAUGAAUAGGAACUUACCCGACUGCUUUUAUAUGAAUAUAGAUCGGCGUGACAGCAGCUCGAAUCCAACAGCUACAGUUGUCGCUAUUGGCCUUGGUGAGAAGGAUAUAAAGGGUAAGUAAUUGCUGGGCAUGCCAGAUUAGUUAUUUGCUACAUUAACUUGUUCACUGCAAUACCAGAAACCUACUGAUUCUUUUUCUUUCUUUUACCCUUCAUUUUGUUUUCAUAUUAUUGGGUGGAAUUUAGAGCCCAAAGCAUUAAUCAGUGGCAAUGAUUUCUUUGCUUUUCCACGGAUGGAUCCAAAGGGCGAAAAGAUAGCAUGGAUUGAGUGGUGUCAUCCAAAUAUGCCAUGGGAUAAAGCAGAACUCUGGGUUGGGUACAUCUCAGAGGCUGGGUAUGUAGAUCGAUGUUCUUUUUUAUCGUUCAACAUUCUCAUGUCCAUUAACAAAGCCAUUGUCACCAUUUUCUUAUUGCCAACAGAUUUUAGAUUUUGUUGCAACAAUUCUUUCACUUGUGAGACAGAUAAGGGUUGUUUAAACAAAUUCAUGCUAACAAGGGAGAGUCCUCUAACCUUGACAUUUCCAUGUGACCUUAUGUGCACUAUUAUAGUAGUUGAUUCAUGUAGUCUGAGUAUAUUAAAUGUCAGAACAUGUUCUUUUCAGGUAAUGUUGAUGUUUAGAGACCUAAGCAAAUUUCCUGUCACAUUUUUAUCUUAUUUUUUAGUACAUAGAACUAACCAUAAACACCAUCUGUAACCACGAUCUUGAGCUUUGAGUGGUUGUCAAACUUUACAUAUCAUCCUGCUCAUUGAACUUAUUACCUUAGCCUAGAACAGCCAUGGCUAAUGGUGAGCUGUGAGCCAAGUGAGCCAAGUGAGCCAAGUGAGUUGCAACUUGUGAUUCAGUACUUAUUUGCAUUUUCCUGUCACUUUGUCUGAUCAACUCUUCAUGUGAUUUUAAGACACUCGUAACCUUUCCUUAUGUUUUUUCUAUGUGCCAUAUUCACACUAUUUUCUUGUGCAUUGAAUUUCUUGGUACUCCUAUGCAGAGAUAUUUAUAAGCGUGUCUGUGUUGCUGGUCGUGAUCCUAAAUAUGUUGAGUCACCAACUGAACCUAAAUGGUCUCCAAAAGGUACUUCUAUGCGUUGGCUUCCAAUUUGAAUUUCGGAGUUGCUGCAACCGAAUUUGUCAUUUGAUGAUACAUGUUCGUUUUUCACCUGAUGAUCUUCAAUGCUGAAGAAAUGUGAGAUUGUAAUAUUAUCGUGAUGUGAAUGAACAAAAAAAGGAGCCUGAUCCCCCAAAAUAAUCGUUGAAUGUAAAUGGCCUAUUCCCAAUUCUAGCUAAUCUGCCUGAAUAACAUAUUGGGGUCGUCUGAUUAAUUUGUUCAUUGUGUUGCUUUUGUGAUGAUCUGAGGAUGUCAGUCUUAUUCAUAAUGUGCUAACAGGAUGAAAGUCCUAUAGUUCUUUUCAUUGGUAUUUCAUGUUUUCCCUUAAAUAUGUAUUACUUAAGAUAUGCAUCUAGAGUCCUCUAGUAUGUCUCUUGCUUACUGGUGAUUUAUUUUUACACUUCUGCUAUUUUUCUUCCUUUCCACUCUACUCGGAUCAUCGAGUCUGGAGGCAUGCUAAAUCUAUUUUACUGUAGAAGCUCUGGAUAUGUAAUAUUUCAGUGAAAACAUAGGAGGAAAUGUCAAAUUUAAGUGGCUUGAAAUUGUGGCAGACAUUACAUUCUGCUUUGAACACAUGCAGGUGAACUAUUUUUCAUUACUGAUAGGCAGAAUGGAUUUUGGAAUCUCUAUAAGUGGGUAAGUACUGGUCACCGAACCCUGAGUUGUUGCUAUUUAUGUGUGUCGAGUUUAAAAUGGCCAGAUAUUAUAGAUGCUUCAAUUCAUUGAAGAUUUUUUAUAGCGACCAAGCGUGAAACAUUAAAGAGGAUAGUCAAAGAAGGAAACACGAUUUUUUUGGUAAAACCCUUUUGAGAAUUAGAAAAGGGAAAAAACAUGGUGUUGCACUAGGCAACAAUUAGCAGCAAGUUUCAAGUCCCAAUUACAAAAGAGAUUGCCACAAUAUAUAACAAGAGUCAAAACCAUAUAAAGUUAUAGAGAAAAUUACAUGUAUACGUUUAGUAGCAGUACUUUCCUCUCUACUUAAUGGCACUUUCCUCUAUCAGACUUCACAUCUCCAUCAAUCUCCCACUUUGAAGCUGAUCUUUGCUACAACAAUAGUCUCUCAUCGUCUUCCCUCAUUUUUGUAACCUAAAUUGUCCUAGUGUGGCACCUUCUUAUCACUAACCAGAGCACAGUUUCAGUUUCUCAGCGGUGACAACCUUAGUUAAUAUGUUUGCUGGAUUCUUCACAUCAAGGACCUUCUUCAAUUACAAUGUCCUACCAUCUAUUAACAAACGAAUAUGAUACUUCUACUAAAUGUGUUUUGUCCUUGAGUGAAAUACGAGAUAUUUUGCAAGACGAAUAGCUUACUGUCAUUAAAAAGGACAUUGCAAUCCUCCUCCCUACUUAUCUCCUUCAGAAAAUUCUUCAACCAAAAUCUUCUCCUUACUAGUUCUAGAUAUAGCAACAUACUCUACUUCAGUGGUAGAGAGGGAUGCACGCUUCUGAAGUCUAGACAUCCAAUUGAUUGCUGUGUCACUCACAGUAAAAUCAUAACCUUAAGUGCUCUUCUUAUUGUCCAUGUCACCAUUAAUAACUGCAUCAACAAAGCCUUGUAAAGUCGCACUAUUUUUCAUAAAAUAAAGUGACAUACUUGAAGUGCCUCUUAGAUAUUUUAAUAGCCAUUUUACAGUUCUCCAAUGCUUUUCCUAGAUUAGUCAUAUAUCUGCUCACAUCUCAUACUGCAUGAGCUAUAUUUGGUCUAGUACUCACCAUAGGAUACAUCAAAAUGCUGAUAGCUGACGUAUAAGGCACCCUAGCCAUAUAAUCUCGCUCAUCAUCUCUCUUUGCCGACUACUUCUCUGAGAGCUUGAAGUGACUGCCUAAAGGAGUGCUUAUGGGCUUUGCAUUCAGGAUCCAAAUCAGUCCAACACCUUCUCAAUGUACUUUUCUUGAGACAACUUUUUCCUUAGAAUCUAUCUCGCAGGGUCCUCAUCCAAGAAUCUAAUUUGCGGCUCAAAGUCCAUUUCAAACUCCUUUGGUAAUUGUUGCUUCAGUUUGUUGAUCUCCCUCAUGCUAGAUCCUGCAAUGAGCAUAUCAAACACAUACAACAACAAAAUAAUAUAGCAGUUACCAAAUUUCUUGAAAUAGCAACAAUAAUUUAUUUCACGUCUAGUGAACCUGUUACUGCAAGUGCGUCAAAUAUCUUGUACCACUAUCUAGAAGCUUGUUGUAAAUGAUACAAACUUGUACUCAACUUGCUGACGAUAGUUUUCUUUGCUAGGAACCUGAAAAACUUAUGAUUAUUCACUGUAGUUAUCAUUCUCUAAGUCUUCAUGGAGGAAUGCAGUCCUUACAUCUAAUGCUCUAGAUGUGAAUUCUUAGUGGCAAAGGUAUUCAACACUGGCCUGAUAAUAGUCAACUACAAAACUAGAGAGAGAAUUUCUAUAUGCUCAACUUCUUUCUUUUGCUAAAAACAUUUCAUUACUAACCUCACUUUGGACCUCUUGUUACCAUUAGGUAUUUGACCUUGUAUGCCCAAUUGUUCUACAAUGCCUUCUUCCCAUCUAGUAACUAAGUUGACACCCAAAUUCUGUUCUACUCGUGUGAAUCAAAUUCAUCUCGCAUUGUCAACUCCCACUAAACAGAAAUUUUAACCUGCACUGCUUCCCAAAUUUUUUUUGGUCCGCCAGCAUUUGUCAAAAGCAAAUAAUGCAAUGGUCUAGAAUACCUUUGUACACGGUUAGAUGUUCUGCUAAAUCAUCUCAAAGUGAGUUUGGAUGUAGGUAGUUCUUGUUCUGGUUAUUAAUCGGAGUCUAUAAUAGCAGUUUUAUGAUCUCUGAUCUGAACACUCUUAGAAAUUCCCUUCAAUUUAAUCUCUUUAAUCUCUUCUGUGUUUUCUCACACUAGAUUCUACAAUAAAUUUGUCCUUUUACGUAACAUCAUUCGUUCUUAUUAUUUUCCUGUUUUGGUCAUUUCAAAACCAAUAGCCAAAGUGACCAAAAUCAUAUCCAAUGGAAAAACAUUCUCUAGAUUUUGCAUCAAGCUUGUCUCUAUUUUCAAAAAUCUAUGUGCGCAUAUAAGGCACAACAAAAAUUUUCAAAUGCGAGAGAUUCUCUCAUUGUUUCUGGUCCAUUGUUUUGGUAGUUCGAAAUCAAGUGAAAUUGAAGGUCUUAUUUCAUCAAAUAUGCUCCUGUGCUAACUGCAUCUGCCCAGAACGUCUUGGGUAAUAUUACAUGCAUCCUCAUACUUCUUGCACACUCAUUCAAAUUUCUAUUCAUCCUCUCAGCAACUCCAUUUUGCCAUGGUGUGAUGCAACUGUUCUUGUCAUCCUCAAUCUACUCUCUGCAUAAAACUACUUGAACUCCUUGCUAUUUUUGAAUCAUUAGAUGGAUCUUCUUCUAACCACCAUUGUCAGACCUUAGACAUUUAAUCAUCAGAUCGACCUCUUUCUCUACUUCAGCUUUCCAUCUUUUAAAAGUAGCAAAAGCAUCAAAUUUAUUAUAUAGAAAAUAAACUAGUACCUCUCUGGUGGAAUUGAUAGUGAAUGUGACGUAGUUGCUUGUAACUCCAAGGGAAGGAACAGGGGCUAGCUCUCAGACAUUUGUGUGCACCAACUGUAACUUGUUUUUCUUUAAUUCUCUUCCAAUUUUUGAAAAAUUGACACAUUUUUGCAUGCUUAGAACACAAUCCUCACAUAGACCCCUAUCUAUGGACUUAAGAUUAGACCAUUUUCCCUUUAAUGAUAACACUUUCACCCCUCAUUUGCUCCUGUGUCCAAGCCUUCGAUGCUGCGGUGUACAAUCCCUUACCAAGCCAGGAACUGCUACUAUAUCUCUAUUGAUUUCACUCAUGUAUUUGUUCCCAACUUUGCUCCCUAGGACCAUUAACAAUCUUCCCCGAGCCAUUUCUAAAAAAAGGUUUUUUGUAACCCGUGUUGUCUCAGUGACCUAUAGAGAUUAGAUUUCUCUUAAGCCAGGAUUAUAUCUAAUAUCACGCAACUCUAAGUAAUACCCAUUAGCAGUCCCUAUGUUAACAUCACCUUUACCCAUCAUAUCCAAAGCAAAAUGAACCUUUCUAAACUUCCUAGCAACAAUACUGUGCAUUCAUUCUCUACACGAAGUAGAGUGAAACGACGCACCCAAGUCUAGAAUCCAUGACUCAGUUGGACUUUUAAUAAUAAAAAUUAAGGCAUCAUGGACAAGUGCCUCUUCAAAGGUUUACAUUGCCAGCUUUCUCCUCCUUUUGAUUUCAAUACUAAAUUUUCUUCUUUUGGCUCUACAAUCUUGCUUCAGAUGGUCCUUUUUUUCAUAAUUCCAGUAGAUUAUUCCACCAUGAGGUCUCAAUUUUCAUAUCCCUCUAGACUUCGAUCUACCACAGUUCCAUUUUGACCUUGUUGGUUACUUCUCUCUCUGCCUUCAGUACUCAAGGCAAUGCCCGAAGAUUCACCCGACUCUCUUUUAUGAAUAUCCUCACUGAGAAUCAAAUCUCAUAUCCUCUCUCUUAUUUUGACUAGACAAACUGUUCACUACAGUCACAUUUGUACUCCAACUUCUAGGGAGAGAAGAUAACAAAAUCAAAGCUUUUGCUUAUCGUCAAAUUUGAUUUCCACCAAACUCAAUGAUCAUGUUGAAUUUAUUGAUGUAAUGUGUCACGGAAGUGCCUUUGUGCAUCUUUUGAUUGAACAAUCUUGUAUGACGCAGAGGGCUUUUCGUACAUGUUGGACAAAGCCCUCAUCAAUUCUGGCGUUGUUUUCUCGUUAACGAUGUUGAAGGUGUUUCACACCAACAUGAGAUGAAUCACAGAAGAACUUUUCGAUCUAACAAUUCCUAGUCUUCUUGAUCGAAUCUGGUUCUCUCCCAACAGAGGCUGAUGCAGUUUUUUGAUAAAGCAAAUCUUGAUCACUUCUAGAACCAAAAUCUUUGCCGUUGAACCGAUCAAUUUUCACCUUACUUUUGUCCUAUCUGGUCACCCCCGCUAUUCCGCCUUACCAGACUCCAGUACCAAUUGUUAGGAGCGCGAAAUGUAAAAGAGAAAAAUUAUAGAUACAUACAAGAAUUUUAACAUGGAAAACACUUUCAAAAUGACAAUGGUACUGCACUAGGCAAUCUUUUCACUAUUAGUAUCAGUAUCAAGUUUCCAGUUACAAUUGCAGGAGCAAUUAUCAUAUGUAGCAAGAAUCUAAGGCAUACAAAGUUAUGGUGAAGUUACUUGUAUACCCUUAGCAGCAGUACUUUCCUCUCUGCUUUAAUAGCACUCCACUAUCAAACUCCGCAACUCCAUCACGUCUUAUAGUAACCAAGCCAAAGUGGGUUUUUUCCGAUGGUUAGUCAUACUGGAAAUUUAAUCGAUCUCCUUAAUUUUCAUAUUACACUUCACAAGAAUUUAGACUGUAUCAGUCAAAUAGUGGGGACUUUGGAUGUCACACUGUGAAAACUAUGAAUGAGGAGAGUUUAUUAUAGUUAUAGGUUUUCUGCAGGAGAUUGAGUCCUUAUUGCAUAUGUUAGCUCUUUUAGCUGCCAUUUAUACUGGCAUAGCUCCAUCGUCAUGGUGUUGGAAGUGAACUACUUUAUGUCUUUGCUAUGCUUCAUGAUUCAACAGAUUGAGUCUGCAAAUGAGGUCCUGCCUCUUUAUCCAUUAAAUGCUGAGUUUGCAAGGCCAUCAUGGGUUUUUGGCUUGAACUCUUAUGAAGUCAUCCAGAGCGACGAACAGAAGACCCUGAUUGCUUGCAGCUACAGGUGAGCCUUUUUUUCUGUUUUAACAUUGUCCUAAUAGCCCAUUAUGGUAUCUUACCAAUCUAUUUGAAAUCUUCCUGCAGGCAGAGUGGAAGGUCUUUUCUUGCGAUGAUCGACGUUCGUCAUAGCUCAUUAUCAUUGCUAGACAUUCCAUUCACAGAUAUACAAGAUAUAGUACGUUCAAUACCAUCUCCAUGAUGAGUCGCUGUAACUACUUUUCAAGCUGACGGUUCGGUAAAUUGUGUACAUUCUGCUUUUGCAGACUUCAGGGAAUAAUUGCCUUUACGUUGAGGGAGCAUCAGGACUACUUCCAACAUCUGUGGCUAAGGUGCUUGCAAUACUCUACCUUAGUAAUCUCCUCAUAAUUGAUGAAGUGUGAACAGAGCUGUAAUAAUAGCAUUAUCUCAGUAUUAAAAUUUUCUUUGUUCAUGGUUUGCAGGUGACUUUCAAUGAUGAAAAGUCAGAAGGCAUUGAUUUUCAGAUAAUAUGGUCAUCUUCGCCAGACUGUUUGAAGUACGAGUCGUAUUUCAGCUUGCCAGAGCUGAUUGAAUUUCCAACUGAAGUUCCUGGUCAAAAUGCUUAUGCAUACUUCUAUCCUCCAUCUAAUCAUGUUUAUCAAGCUAGUGCGGAAGAAAAGCCUCCACUGUUGUUAGAAAGCCAUGGUACUUGAAAAAUUGCAACUCAGUUAUUGUCCUACUUGAAUUCACCUUGCCAACUCUAUAUUCUUCUGUGGGAACUUUGUACUACCAAACUGGUAUUUUCAUUCACAAUAAUCAUUAAUUGACCUUACUUGUCAAAUCAAGUCUUUAUUUUGAUAUAAAUCUAUGAUUCAUUGGUGAAUUUUCAGACUAAACAAGUAUCCAGCAUCAGUUAUAGAUAUUAUAGAUGCGCAAAACAAGUCAGUGCAUAUGCAACUGAUGCUGAAUGAAGAUGGAGUCAAUGUAGGGAACAUAUUUUUUCAAAACUAUAUUGAUAUGGUAUACUGUACACUGUUGCCCCUCUUAACACCUGUAUUGCAAUGUUAGUCAUGCAUUGGAAUGGAAUAUAAUGAUUGCUUGGCACUUUUGUUGACAUAUAUGCAUGGUAUACAUUUGGGGCAUGUUUUAUGACAAUUCAAGCUUUUGGGGGAAAUGAUUAUUCAACCCGGUAUCAAAGGUGUUAAAAGUCCAAAUCUCCUCUUGUUGCCAUUCUGUUUUUUACUUUCAUUUAUCCUCUGAUUGCUGUUAAAUUUGGUUAUUUUCACAUCUAAGGUCUAGCAUACACUGAAGGGGGAGUGUUAAGACAUAUCUCAACAUUAAUUAUGGGCAUAAUUUUGAACAACUUAGGUUUUUCCAGAAAAGAAUGGCCUUUUUGACAAUUUUGAGAAUAGCCUCUCUCUCUCUCUCUCUCCCUCCCUCCCUCCUUUAAAAAAAAUAAAAAAAUUAGUGGGAGUAACUGGCAAUUGUUUGUUCCAAGUAGCAUUGGCAUGCAUCAAUAUCUAAUCAUAUUGAUCUGGUUAUUCGGGAAUGUUUAUGUAAUUAUGCUUAAAAUUGCCCAGGAGGGCCUACUAGUGAAACACGAGGAGUUUUGAACCUGAGUAUUCAAUACUGGACUAGCAGAGGAUGGGCUUUCGUGGAUGUCAAUUACGGUGGAAGCACUGGUUUGUCUCUAUAUGAGAACUUUAUGCUUCAUAUCAUUCUCUUGAUUUCUGCAAAACCUGUUUAUAAUGAACCACCCUUACUAUCUCGACAGCCCUAUGCUUUAUUCUUGUCAAUUCCUCAUGGAGUUUAAUUAACAUAAAUGGCUGCAAAAACUACUUGCUUGGGCCCAUCAUUUGAUUAAUCUUCUUCAUUGCUACUGAAAGAUGUCACAACUUUUCUUCAAGGUUAUGGCAGAGAAUUCAGAGAGCGGCUAUUGGGUCGCUGGGGCAUAGUUGAUGUUGAUGACUGUUGUAGUUGUGCUAAAUUUUUGGUACGUGACUUUCAACUCGUUUUUCUGUUAGUGCUCGUUGGGGAAUAUAAUACUGUUCAGUAUGGUGAAGUUGCUUUGAUCAUCCAGGUGGAAAGUGGAAAGGUGGAUGGCACUCGUCUAUGCAUUACUGGAGGCUCAGCUGGUGGGUAUACAACCUUAGCUGCUCUAGCAUUUAGGGAAACUUUCAAAGCUGGAGCCUCCCUCUAUGGUGUGAGUUCAUUUACUUUGUAGUUGGUUUCAGAAUAGCUAAACUUUAAUCGGCGCCAAUAUCGGGAUACUGGCUUAUUUAUGGGGGCAUCAGAGGCAGGUUGCUCUAAUCUUACCCUGACAAAGCACAUGAACAUACAAAGGAGCUCUGGAUUCUGGGGAUUUAUUGCCUUCAACAUAGUCAUUGAUCAUUCUUGGUGAUUUGCUUGUUGCUAGUGAAUGAUAUAUAGCAUUUUCAUUGUGUUGGUAUCGGAUGGAUCAACUGGAAAGUCUACUAGCAAGGGCCCACUGUUAAGGACGUUACUUUCAUGACUCAUAAAGUACCAAAAGGCGUUUCAUUACAGUUUGUUACUGUGCAUCGGUCAUGGUGUUUACUUGAAAUUCUAGAUAUUUAAAUUUCCCCAUUUCAUUUGAUACUUCUAAUGAGUCAUUUAUUAAUUCAUCAUUUAUUUCUGCUAUUAAAGCAUUGAAUUUUCACAAUGUUAAAAGAGAUUAUUUUGCUGUUAUUGUGUCAAACAGAUUGCUGAUUUGAACAUGUUGAGAGCAGAAAUGCACAAGUUUGAAUCUCAUUACAUUGACAACCUUGUCGGUAAUUCAGAUAAGCUUUUGUGUGUUUCAUCUCUUCUCAGAUAAGUCUUUAUUCUGAUCAUCCAUUUGUUGCACUACAGGAUCUGAAAAGGAUUGCUACGAGAGAUCGCCUAUAAACUUUGUUGAGAAAUUUUCUUGCCCCAUAAUUCUAUUCCAAGGAUUGGAAGACCAGGUACGCUAGUCUUACUCUUUCCAAUGGUCACCUGCCCCUCUGCUGUUACUCCCCAUAAAUUAAAGAAAAACUAAAGAAAAAAAGGGGGAAGAGUCCAGUGUCUAAACGAGGGUCCUCUUUUUUCCCCCCUAAUUUAUGAAAUAUCGUCAGAUAAGUUCGACUUUUUCUUUCCAAUUGAUAAGUAGAUGUGAUCAAUGGCCUUCAGAUUUAUUUUGUACAUCUCUGGCAUUUUAAAAACUUUGCUGCUUGGCGGUUUAGCAAUUAUCUACGACAUCUUGUAGGUAGUACCGCCAGGUCAGGCUCACAAAAUUUAUGCGGCAUUGAAGCAGAAAGGUCUGCCUGUUGCAUUAGUGGAAUACGAAGGCGAGCAGCAUGGUUUUCGCAAGGUAUUGUUCUUCUGGAGUCUUACACAAACAAGUCAUUUGUUGUGUGUGCAGUGUACGGAAUUGACAUACAAUGUUUUGCAGGCUGAAAGUAUAAAAUUCACAUUAGAACAACAAAUGCUGUUUUUCGCACGUUUAGUGGGACACUUUGAUGUUGCCGAUGAGAUCGCACCACUCAAAAUUGAAAACUUUGACUGAGCUUGCCUCAUGAAGGUAAUGAUGUGCUCUUCAAAUGUUAGUAAUCUGUUGGUAACGGAGAGGAGGAUCGAAACCUUGCUUUCUACUGUCUGCAACUGUUAAUUAUACAUUGCUGUGCUACACAUGACUUCGUCCAUGCGCAGUGUUGUAUGUCCAUCCUGCUUUUAUAAUUGGCCUGAUUGCAAGUAUGAGAAUUGGUUUUUUAAUGCAAUUGUGUCAAUCAACCGUUAGGGUGGAAUAUGAUGAUCAAAUUGCCCCUCAUUCUUAAAAUCUAUUUGAUCACUGCAUUCCAGUGCAAUUGUGUGCAUUUUUGGUCCCAUUAAAUUUCAUGGGUUUUUCCGUGACCACUUACUUUUCGCUCAGCACCAAUCAAUUGACUUUUGUCACCGUAGAAUG